UCCCUGGCAGUCCAGUGGUUAGGACUCUACACUUCCACUGCAGGGGACACUGGUUCAAUCCCUGGCUGGGGAC
rnacentral:tRNA from 1 species